rnacentral:lncRNA from 10 species
AGAAUUAAUGAGAUAGAAUUCAAGAGGUUCCCAUCCAGUUUCCUGCUACUACGACAGACUUUUCCUCUCUCCAACCAGGAAAUUCCAUGAUCUUGCUUAUUCCUGUCUUGGGAAGUCCUUCUCCAUGUCUAACCAAGAUCUAUAUGGCUAUAGCACUACCAAGAGAACCCCUUAAUUGGGGAAAGAGAGAGAAGGAAAGGGGCUGUGCAGGGCAAAAACCCUAGAGCCAGCCCCGUGCUCGGUGCCGCAAAAUGAAAAUAGCACUCAGGCAAAAGUUUUCUCAACAAGGCAAUUUACUUCUAUAGCAGGGUGUGUCUAGUGGAUGGAGCAAUGGUUGGCUCACGCCUGUAAUCCCAGCACUUUGGGAGGCCGAGGCGGGUGGAUCGUGAGGUCAGGAGAUCGAGACCAUCCUGGCUAACAAGGUGAAACCCCGUCUCUACUAAAAAUACAAAAAAUUAGCCGGGCGCGGUGGCGGGUGCCUGUAGUCCCAGCUACUCGGGAGGCUGAGGCAGGAGAAUGGCGUGAACCCGGGAGGCGGAGCUUGCAGUGAGCCGAGAUUGCGCCACUGCAGUCUGCAGUCCGGCCUGGGCGACAGAGCGAGACUCCGUCUCACAAAAAAAAAAAAAAAAAAAAAAAAAAAAAAAAAAAAAAAAGAGAGCGAGGGUAGGAGCCGGAGUGGUGGGGUGAGU